rnacentral:tRNA from 1 species
GAGGAUGUGGCUCAGUGGUAGAGCACUUGCCUAGCAGCAUGAAGCCCAGGGUUCAAUCCCCAGCACUGCA